UGGCACUGAAGCUCCAAGCUAGAACUUUCCAGAAGAGAAAACAGUCCUGGAGCAAGACUAGCCUUUUGAUGAAAAAAUAGAGACAGAUUGGUUGGCAAACUUCCCAAGGUCAUAUAGAGUCCAAGACCGGAUCUGAUACCAUGUGGAGCCCAUUCUCACUAACCAGGAAGCUGUGGAAGAGAGAAACAGGUGUAGGGAUCCUCAGUAGAGUUCCCUGAUGAGAGCCUGUAAAAUCCAAAGAGAGAGUCAGAGAUGCCAGUGGAUGUUUGGUGACCUGGAAUAGAGCCUGACGUAGUUGGAGGAAGAAAAUGGUGUGUCCUAUGACUGGAAAGAUAUGAGGAGACAUUUCAGAAGUGAAACCAAUCUUGGGAAGUAGAAAGAUAGCC
ensembl:lncRNA